UUCCAGACUCCUACGGGAGGCAGCAGUGAGGAAUAUUGGUCAAUGGGCGAGAGCCUGAACCAGCCAAGUCGCGUGAGGGAGUACUGCCCUAUGGGUUGUAAACCUCUUUUGUCGGGGAGCAAAAGCCGGACGUGUCCGGCUGUGAGAGUACCCGAAGAAAAAGCAUCGGCUAACUCCGUGCCAGCAGCCGCGGUAAUACGGAGGAUGCGAGCGUUAUCCGGAUUUAUUGGGUUUAAAGGGUGCGUAGGCGGAAGGUUAAGUCAGCGGUCAAAUGUCGGUGCUCAACACCGGCCUGCCGUUGAAACUGGUCUUCUUGGGUGAGCGAGAAGUAUGCGGAAUGCGUGGUGUAGCGGUGAAAUGCAUAGAUAUCACGCAGAACUCCGAUUGCGAAGGCAGCAUACCGGCGCUCAACUGACGCUGAGGCACGAAAGCGUGGGGAUCGAACAGGAUUAGAUACCCCAGUAC
rnacentral:rRNA from 1 species